rnacentral:lncRNA from 1 species
AGUAGUUAGGAUGUGCCAAGAUAAGUUCAAAGAUCCUCUAUAAAAUUAUAUUAAGUUCAAAGAUAAGUGUAAUAUUGAGAUUCACAUUCAAAUCAAAUAUCGAAUUCAUUUGAUCAAUUGGUGUCUAGAUAAGUGUGAAAGAUAAUUUUUUAAUUAGAUUUGUAUGCUAGCCUGGCCAACUUUAUUAGUGUCUAAGAAAAGCUACGGGGAGCCUCCCACC